UACGAAGGGGGCUAGCGUUGCUCGGAAUCACUGGGCGUAAAGCGCACGUAGGCGGAUUGUUAAGUCAGGGGUGAAAUCCUGGAGCUCAACUCCAGAACUGCCUUUGAUACUGGCGAUCUUGAGUCCGGGAGAGGUGAGUGGAACUGCGAGUGUAGAGGUGAAAUUCGUAGAUAUUCGCAAGAACACCAGUGGCGAAGGCGGCUCACUGGCCCGGUACUGACGCUGAGACGCGAAAGCGUGGGGAGCAAACAGGG
rnacentral:rRNA from 1 species